rnacentral:lncRNA from 1 species
GCGAACCCUGUGAAUCACGUCAGCGCCUGCACAGUGGGAAGGGGUCCCCCCUGGCACGUUGCUGCCAAGUUUCAACAGCGCUUAGAGGGGAAGCGGCAGAAGCAAUUCGGCUUCUCGAUGGGCUUGCCCCGGCGUGCACUUGCACGAAGCAUUGGCAGGAAGGAAGCUUACAAAUUCAUCUGGGGCCACCAGCUUCCGGGGAUCCGUGACGGGAUUUCACCAUGUUGGCUGGUGUCGAACUCCUGACCUCAAGUGAUCCACCCACCUCAGCCUCCUAAAGUGCUGGGAUUACAGGCCCCUAGCUCCUCUGAGGCACGGGAAUAUCCAGUUUCUUCUCCCCUCUGAAGAACCUGCCUGAUAACAACCAUAGUGCUUUAAAUGGCAUCUCC